rnacentral:lncRNA from 1 species
UAUGUCACAUUUUUAGAAAGGUAUGUCCUGCUAAACUAUAAAAAACUAUCGGGUUGAUCCUUAAAAAAAUUGCUGACAGUUGGCAUCUUACUUCAGAGAUCAGCUUUGAGGAAACAAGGUAAUAACCUUAACAUCAGGCCCCAUUUUGGAAAAUUAGUGAAACCUGGUUAACUUCAGGACCAACUGAAAUAAUUCAAGUUUUUCCAUGUUGGCAGAAGUUGCUUUAUUUUUAGUAUCUGGCAGAGCAGCAAAUGCUCUGCAUGUCAAUUUAAUGUUUUUUGAAGCCAACUGUUUAUUCAUUGGCUUAAAAUUUACACUCUACUAAAGUCUUUGCCUUGACUUCCAUGAAACAAAUAGUAAUAUUUGGACAAAAUAUGUGCACGAAAAUCUUUUUCCAAGACCAAGUGUAGAUUAGUAUUUGUGGCAUCAGUGCCUUCUAUCAUGGUAAUAGAUCGACCUGUUUUUCCAUUUUUGAGGGUGGGGUGCUCUGUAGAUUUUGGUAAAAUGAGUGGAGCUGCAUUCUUUAGUCUUUAUUAUUUUAUCCUCCCUCCAUAUUACUCACUGUAAAAGACACAUGCGUGCAUUCACACACUCAUUCAGUGUUGUAGCUGUAAUCAGCACAAAGACUGACUGGGGAAAGGAUUCCCAACUCCAGUUAAGAACAUGGAAGUGUGUAGCAGAUCAAGAUGCUGUGGAGAAACUCAGGAGUCAAACCAUCUGUGCCCUUGGGUCUCAGUGAAGUAUAUAG